AACGAACGCUGGCGGCAUGCCUAACACAUGCAAGUCGAACGGGAUCCUAGCUUGCUAGGUGAGAGUGGCGGACGGGUGAGUAACACGUGGGAAUCUGCCUUUUGGUUCGGGAUAACCGCGGGAAACUGCGGCUAAUACCGAACGCCCUCGAGAGAGGAAAGAUUUAUCGCCAGAAGAGGAGCCCGCGUCCGAUUAGGUAGUUGGUGGGGUAAAGGCCUACCAAGCCGACGAUCGGUAGCUGGUCUGAGAGGAUGAUCAGCCACACUGGGACUGAGACACGGCCCAGACUCCUACGGGAGGCAGCAGUGGGAAUAUUGGACAAUGGGGCAACCCUGAUCCAGCAAUGCCGCGUGAGUGAUGAAGGCCUCGGUGUAAGCUCUUUCACCCACGACGAUGAUGACGGUAGUGGGAGAAGAAGCCCCGGCUAACUUCGUGCCAGCAGCCGCGGUAAU
rnacentral:rRNA from 1 species